GGCAGUUAGACAUUUCAUUUGGCAAGACCUUGCUUUGUUAGAAAGCAUUUUUUGGGCUGUUUGACAAGUAAGCCUUUAGGUAGUCAACAACUCAGUUUGAAAGACACGCUUUUGGGCAGUGAGACAAGUAAGCAUAUAGGUAUGCAAGAACUCACUUUGAAAGACUCGUUUUGGGAAGUUAGAUGUAGCCCUACUAGGUUGCGCGUUUAAUUUUGAAGGUUUAAAUAAAGCUUCAUUAAUGGGAGUCCUAGUUUGGUUGAAGCCCUACUACUAUUUGUUGGGACAAGUGCAACCUACACGUUGUGCUAGUUUUGCACGCACUGUGAGUCGAUUGGGGGGUUCAGUUUGGUGCCGAACCAAUGAGAGAACUGGAGGGAUGGAACGAAUGGGAAAAGUUUCGAGACUUUUCUAGAAGGGUCGGAGAGAGAGGAGAGCGUGAGAUGGAGGUGUUCGAAAGAGCGCUCCAGAGUGUCAGGAGGCGAUAUUUUUCUGGUUGCUGGACGAGUAACCAGAGAGAAAAUAUCACUUCUCUGCAUUUGGAUUGUGUUGGCGAGUUUUUAGUUUCUGUGGUGUCCUCGUGGUCCGAUGAGACGUCCAGUUAAAACGACAAGUUUUCAGGCUCAGCCCGUCUCGUCGAACUACUACGCCGGUGUGACGGAGGAGGACUGAGGAGAACCCGAUAGCGCUUCGUGUUACCGGUAACGCGCGAAGUUCCUCGGGCAUCGCUGGAGUUUUCAUCCGCCCCGAACGCGAGUGGACGGGGAUAAGGGUCACGGGGAACCGGAGCCUACCCGGCAACACAGGGCGUAAGGCCGGAGGGGGAAGGGGACACACCCAGGACGGGACGCCAGUCCGCCGCAAGGCACCCCAAGCGGGACUCGAACCCCAGACCCACCGGAGAGCAGGACUGUGGUUCAACCCACUGCGCCACCGCACCCCCUAUUAUUUACAGCCUCCUCACUUUAUUCUGUUAGAUCAGGGGUGUCAAAUUCAAUUUCAUCCCGGGCCACAUCAGCAUUAUGGUUGCUCUCAUAGGGCCAGUUAUAACUGUAAGACUGUAUUAAUGUAUCUACUCUUUAUUACAUUGCAUAAUUACCUCUGCAUUCGAUUACUACUGGUUUUGGUAAUAACUCAAUUAAUACCUAGCUUUGAAAGUAGAAGCCCAGGACAAAUGAAGACAAAGUGUAUUCAAGUAUACAAUUAUUGUACAGUUUAUUUAAAAAAUAAAUGUGGUAACAAAAACACAUGCUUGUGCUGUAUGUGAGCACAUGCUCAGAUUUAUCUGUGAUAUUCUAAAUUAAAUUCAUGAAAUUAAGAAAAAAUUGUUACUUAUACAUCAAAGAAGAUUUCAUUCAUAAAAUUUAAUUUUACUGAUGGACUUCU
rnacentral:lncRNA from 1 species